UAAGCAUAUCAAUAAGCGGAGGAAAAGAAACCAACAGGGAUUGCUCUAGUAACGGCGAGUGAAGCAGCAAUAGCUCAAAUUUGAAAUCUGGCGUCUUCGACGUCCGAGUUGUAAUUUGUAGAGGAUGCUUCUGAGUAACCACCGACCUAAGUUCCUUGGAACAGGACGUCAUAGAGGGUGAGAAUCCCGUAUGCGGUCGGAAAGGUGCUCUAUACGUAGCUCCUUCGACGAGUCGAGUUGUUUGGGAAUGCAGCUCUAAAUGGGAGGUAAAUUUCUUCUAAAGCUAAAUAUUGGCCAGAGACCGAUAGCGCACAAGUAGAGUGAUCGAAAGAUGAAAAGCACUUUGGAAAGAGAGUUAAAAAGCACGUGAAAUUGUUAAAAGGGAAGGGAUUGCAACCAGACUUGCUCGCGGUGUUCCGCCGGUCUUCUGACCGGUCUACUCGCCGCGUUGCAGGCCAGCAUCGUCUGGUGCCGCUGGAUAAGACUUGAGGAAUGUAGCUCCCUCGGGAGUGUUAUAGCCUCUUGUGAUGCAGCGAGCGCCGGGCGAGGUCCGCGCUUCGGCUAGGAUGCUGGCGUAAUGGUCGUAAUCCGCCCGUCUUGAAACACGGACCAAGGAGUCUAACAUCUAUGCGAGUGUUCGGGUGUCAAACCCCUACGCGUAAUGAAAGUGAACGGAGGUGAGAACCGCAAGGUGCAUCAUCGACCGAUCCUGAUGUCUUCGGAUGGAUUUGAGUAAGAGCAUAGCUGUUGGGACCCGAAAGAUGGUGAACUAUGCCUGAAUAGGGUGAAGCCAGAGGAAACUCUGGUGGAGGCUCGCAGCGGUUCCUGACGUGCAAAUCCAUCGUCAAAUUUGGGUAUAGGGGCGAAAGACUAAUCGAACCAUCUAGUAGCUGGUUCCUGCCGA
rnacentral:rRNA from 1 species